rnacentral:rRNA from 1 species
AUACGGAGGGUGCAAGCGUUAUCCGGAAUCAUUGGGUUUAAAGGGUCCGUAGGCGGACUAUUAAGUCAGAGGUGAAAUCCCACAGCUCAACUGUGGAACUGCCUUUGAUACUGGUAGUCUUGAGUUAUAUGGAAGUAGAUAGAAUGUGUAGUGUAGCGGUGAAAUGCAUAGAUAUUACUUAGAAUACCGAUUGCGAAGGCAGUCUACUACGUAUAUACUGACGCUGAGGGACGAAAGCGUGGGGAGCGAACAGGAUUAGAAACCCUAGUAGUCC